AAAAACACCGGCUCUGCUACGAUCACCGAAAGUUAAGCAACGUCGAGCCUGGUCAUUACCUAGAUGGGUGCCCGCUUGGGAAUACCAGGUGUUGUAA